rnacentral:rRNA from 1 species
AGAGUUUGAUCCUGGCUCAGGAUGAACGCUAGCUACAGGCUUAACACAUGCAAGUCGAGGGGCAGCAGAUCGAAAGCUUGCUUUUGAUGCUGGCGACCGGCGCACGGGUGAGUAACGCGUAUCCAACCUUCCCUAUAGUAGAGAAUAGCCCGGCGAAAGUCGGAUUAAUGCUCUAUGUUGUAUUUAGAAGACAUCUGAAGAAUACCAAAGGUUUACCGCUAUAGGAUGGGGAUGCGUCUGAUUAGGUAGUAGGCGGGGUAACGGCCCACCUAGCCGACGAUCAGUAGGGGUUCUGAGAGGAAGGUCCCCCACAUUGGAACUGAGACACGGUCCAAACUCCUACGGGAGGCAGCAGUGAGGAAUAUUGGUCAAUGGACGGAAGUCUGAACCAGCCAAGUAGCGUGCAGGAUGACGGCCCUAUGGGUUGUAAACUGCUUUUAUAUAGGGAUAAAGUCGGGGACGUGUCCCCGUUUGUAGGUACUAUAUGAAUAAGGACCGGCUAAUUCCGUGCCAGCAGCCGCGGUAAUACGGAAGGUCCAGGCGUUAUCCGGAUUUAUUGGGUUUAAAGGGAGCGCAGGCUGAUGAUUAAGCGUGACGUGAAAUGUAGCCGCUCAACGGCUGAACUGCGUCGCGAACUGGUUAUCUUGAGUGAGUUCGAUGUUGGCGGAAUUCGUGGUGUAGCGGUGAAAUGCUUAGAUAUCACGAAGAACUCCGAUUGCGAAGGCAGCCAACAAGGCCUUUACUGACGCUAAAGCUCGAAGGUGCGGGUAUCGAACAGGAUUAGAUACCC